GAACGGGUGAGUAAUACAUCGGAACGUGCCCAGUAAUGGGGGAUAGCUCGGCGAAAGCCGGAUUAAUACCGCAUACGCCCUGAGGGGGAAAGUGGGGGACCGCAAGGCCUCACGUUAUUGGAGCGGCCGAUGGCUGAUUAGCUAGUUGGUAGGGUAAAGGCCUACCAAGGCGACGAUCAGUAGCUGGUCUGAGAGGACGAUCAGCCACACUGGGACUGAGACACGGCCCAGACUCCUACGGGAGGCAGCAGUGGGGAAUUUUGGACAAUGGGGGAAACCCUGAUCCAGCAAUGCCGCGUGUGCGAAGAAGGCCUUCGGGUUGUAAAGCACUUUUGUCAGGGAAGAAAUCCUUUGGGCUAAUACCCUAGGGGGAUGACGGUACCUGAAGAAUAAGCACCGGCUAACUACGUGCCAGCAGCCGCGGUAAUACGUAGGGUGCAAGCGUUAAUCGGAAUUACUGGGCGUAAAGCGUGCGCAGGCGGUGAUCUUUGUCAGAGGUGAAAGCCUGGGGCUCAACCCCAGAAUUGCCUUUGAAACGGGAUCGCUAGAGUCCGAGAGAGGAUGGCGGAAUUCCUAGUGUAGAGGUGAAAUUCGUAGAUAUUAGGAAGAACACCGGUGGCGAAGGCGGCCAUCUGGCUCGGUACUGACGCUCAGGCGCGAAAGC
rnacentral:rRNA from 1 species